GUUCAUUUGAUUUUUCUGGCUUUUUCUUCUAACAAUGCGAGGCCUUGCCAAAGGAAAUCCUCUACCUCGCCUUAACCCUUUUUUAUACCUUGAUUCGCACCGUACCUGCUAAUGCUUCUGAAUGAGGUUAACGACUGGGAAUUAACUUCCCUGAAAGUUGUGGUGAAGUGUAUUGAAACUCGAGGGGCAAUACCCAGUUGACCCUCUUCAGAAACGGGUCUUCCAACUAGAGAAAGCAAAGAUGAUAAGAAGAGAGUGGCUGAACCGCUGAAGAUGCAAAGUCUCAGCCAAAGAGGCCCCGUGCUAAUGGUGGUGGUUUUGCUCCCCGCGUCUCUAACAUCAAUGGCAAAAGCUUCUAUGCUACAGUACCUGAUAGGUGUCCUCCCCACAACUACGAAAACAUGCACUAUGUAUAUCCAGGACACACAAACAAUCAUCCCUCGUCGCACUUGGGUGCUGCAGACUACAACAUCCCACCCAACCACGGUAGCUAUUUCAGAAAUGGGUAUGCAUCAAGCUCCAUAUCUACACUAAGUAGAAAAAGGUGAAACAUAAACUAUAUUCUGAUAUUCCUUUUGGUUUUUUUGGGUGUUUCAAUGUAUGAACAAAAUUUAAGUGAAAACAAAUAGAAUAAACAAAGUUUUUUGCAUUUGUGAU